GAUGAACGCUGGCGGCGUGCCUAAUACAUGCAAGUCGAGCGAACAGACGAGGAGCUUGCUCCUUUGACGUUAGCGGCGGACGGGUGAGUAACACGUAGGUAACCUACCUAUAAGACUGGGAUAACUUCGGGAAACCGGAGCUAAUACCGGAUAAUAUUUCGAACCGCAUGGUUCGAUAGUGAAAGAUGGCUUUGCUAUCACUUAUAGAUGGACCUGCGCCGUAUUAGCUAGUUGGUAAGGUAACGGCUUACCAAGGCAACGAUACGUAGCCGACCUGAGAGGGUGAUCGGCCACACUGGAACUGAGACACGGUCCAGACUCCUACGGGAGGCAGCAGUAGGGAAUCUUCCGCAAUGGGCGAAAGCCUGACGGAGCAACGCCGCGUGAGUGAUGAAGGUCUUCGGAUCGUAAAACUCUGUUAUUAGGGAAGAACAAACGUGUAAGUAACUGUGCACGUCUUGACGGUACCUAAUCAGAAAGCCACGGCUAACUACGUGCCAGCAGCCGCGGUAAUACGUAGGUGGCAAGCGUUAUCCGGAAUUAUUGGGCGUAAAGCGCGCGUAGGCGGUUUUUUAAGUCUGAUGUGAAAGCCCACGGCUCAACCGUGGAGGGUCAUUGGAAACUGGAAAACUUGAGUGCAGAAGAGGAAAGUGGAAUUCCAUGUGUAGCGGUGAAAUGCGCAGAGAUAUGGAGGAACACCAGUGGCGAAAGCGACUUUCUGGUCUGUAACUGACGCUGAUGUGCGAAAGCGUGGGGAUCAAACAGG
rnacentral:rRNA from 1 species